UGGGGGAGAUGCUUNCCCCCCUCGAGAACUCUAGACAGGUGAUGAAAAAAGUCGUNGCUCGUGUUGUGAAAUGUUGGGUUAAGUCCCGCAACGAGCGCAACCCUUCUCCUUUGUCGCCAGCGAUUCGGUCGGGAACUCAAAGGAGACUGCCAGUGAUAAACUGGAGGAAGGUGGGGAUGACGUCAAGUCAUCAUGGCCCUUACGAGUAGGGCUACACACGUGCUACAAUGGCAUAUACAAAGAGAAGCGACCUCGCGAGAGCAAGCGGACCUCAUAAAGUAUGUCGUAGUCCGGAUUGGAGUCUGCAACUCGACUCCAUGAAGUCGGAAUCGCUAGUAAUCGUGGAUCAGAAUGCCACGGUGAAUACGUUCCCGGGCCUUGUACACACCGCCCGUCACACCAUGGGAGUGGGUUGCAAAAGAAGUAGGUAGCUUAACCUUU
rnacentral:rRNA from 1 species